GACGAACGCUGGCGGCGUGCUUAACACAUGCAAGUCGAACGAAGAGCGAUGGAAGCUUGCUUCUAUCAAUCUUAGUGGCGAACGGGUGAGUAACGCGUAAUCAACCUGCCCUUCAGAGGGGGACAACAGUUGGAAACGACUGCCAAUACCGCAUACGAUCUAAUCUCGGCAUCGAGGAUAGAUGAAAGGUGGCCUCUACAUGUAAGCUAUCACUGAAGGAGGGGAUUGCGUCUGAUUAGCUAGUUGGAGGGGUAACGGCCCACCAAGGCGAUGAUCAGUAGCCGGUCUGAGAGGAUGAACGGCCACAUUGGGACUGAGACACGGCCCAGACUCCUACGGGAGGCAGCAGUGGGGAAUCUUCCGCAAUGGACGAAAGUCUGACGGAGCAACGCCGCGUGAGCGAUGACGGCCUUCGGGUUGUAAAGCUCUGUUAAUCGGGACGAAAGGCCUCCUUGCGAAUAGGGAGAAGGAUUGACGGUACCGGAAUAGAAAGCCACGGCUAACUACGUG
rnacentral:rRNA from 1 species